UUUACAUAACAGUAAUCAUGUUUCCUUCCCUAUUGGACGUCAUUGUAGUGAUGUCAACAUUUCAUUUGGGAUUAACUGAAACAGCCAAAGCUUGAAGAAAAAGACCCAAGUUGUAAUUAUAUGGAACUCUCCGUUCAGCUAACCAUUAGCAUGCUAAUGAAGUUUGGUUAAUUUACUUGAUAAUAUUACUGAAAGUUGAAUUACUUCAUCAUUAUUUUAAUAUGCCAUCAGCACAUGGCAGCCAGAGUGGUUCUACAUAUUAGUUGGUGAGUGUGUGUUGGUUUUGCAGAGAGAAGACUCUGCCAGGUGGUUCUCCUCAGCUUUGGGCUGCUGUGCGUCAUACAAGCCAUUCUCAACGCUUCUCUACGCCUGACAUUAGACUCUACCCACUCGGACUGCAACACAACUCAUUUGCCUCGUCAAGACCAGGUGAAGAAUGUGCAAAAGGAUUGUGAAGGAGUGCUGCCACGUCAUUGCAACAGAUUACAAGAACGAUUCAACGCUUUGAUGGGAGACAAAAUCGUGCUGGAAAACAGAAUCAUUGCGCUCACCAACAGGAUCCAGGCCCUGGAGGAGGAGAGACGCCGUGUGAGGACUAAUCUGAGGACAGUUGAGGAUGGAUCAGGCUAAAUCUUCUCAAAUAAACCUUACCUCGUCAUUUCUUCCUCUCUAACCCUUCCUCUAUUUCUGUCAGUUUGGUCCCUGUGACGUCUCCUGCUAACAGCACAGCACUUCCUGUGUUUACUACAAAGAAACCAUUGUUGGUGCUGAGAACAUUACAAUGUUAAACAGCAAAUAUAAAUGUGUAACUCCAUUAUUUUGCAGUGUCUGUUCUUUUUUUUUUUUUUAUCAAAUUCUUUUUAUUUAAUGAUAAUCAAAUCGCUUUUUUUCAGCUUGUGGGCUUCGGGGAGCCUAACCGUGGGAAAAGGAAGAACUGUGGGCUAAUAUAUCAAUAUUAUUCAGAAAACAGCUGGAAUGAUGAAAGAUGUUCCAACUCAGUGUACUGGAUCUGUGAAAGAAAAGUCCGUCCAUAACUCUGCAUCCAAACCCACCAGAAAACAUAAGAAAUAAAUUGCUGUUUAUUUUUUGCUGUCUACAGAUUUACAUUUUCACAAAAGCAACCUGAAUGUGCUCAUGUAGACACAUCAUUUCCAAGUAAAAACAGCCUUUUAGGAUUUGCCAGCUCAGUGGGUGAUAAUCUGGAGCCUGGUGAUUUGCUCUGCAGUAAAGUGACCUGUUAACAUCUAGAAACUAAUGUCCAACCAGUUCACUGCUUUGGCUGAAAAGAA